UCUUUUAUAUAAGUAUAAUGUAGUAUCAUGGAUGAGAGGCCUGGGAGGUGUUGUGCGGAUUAUAAACAAGCGGUUGCUGAGCAUGUACGUAGUGAGGCUAAGACAAAAGACAAGGGUCUGCUAGGGAACAAUAAACGAAUUAACAGCAGUACGAGUUGAGACGUCAGAGUGUGCAGAUUGCGUUGAUGAGAGUCGUCGAUUAAUUACUUAGUUGUGUUAAUCAUUAUACGUCUGCUGUGAUUAGUUCAUCUUUAACAAACAUUGUUUUCUGUUCAAUUAACAUCUGUUCAAUCUACUUAUCAUUAAUAAACUAACUAUAGUAGUUACGAUACUACACUCGAAU